GGAUAGUUCAGUUGGUUAGAACGUAGUGCUGAUAAUACCAAGGUCGCAGGUUCGAGUUCCCGUAUGGGACA